rnacentral:rRNA from 1 species
UACGGAGGAUGCGAGCGUUAUCCGGAUUUAUUGGGUUUAAAGGGUGCGUAGGCGGCUUUUUUAAGUCAGCGGUGAAAUUUUGCAGCUUAACUGUAACAGUGCCGUUGAUACUGGGGAGCUAGGAUUUGGUUGCUGUGGGUGGAAUGUGUGGUGUAGCGGUGAAAUGCUUAGAGAUCACACAGAAUAUCGAUUGCGAAGGCAGCUCACAAAGCCAAGAUUGACGCUGAGGCACGAAAGUGUGGGGAUCAAACAGGAUUAGAUA